GGGGAAUAUUGGGCAAUGGGCGAAAGCCUGACCCAGCAACGCCGCGUGAAGGAAGAAGGCUUUCGGGUUGUAAACUUCUUUUAUCAGGGACGAAGGAUGUGACGGUACCUGAUGAAUAAGCCACGGCUAACUACGUGCCAGCAGCCGCGGUAAUACGUAGGUGGCAAGCGUUGUCCGGAUUUACUGGGUGUAAAGGGCGCGCAGGCGGGAGAGCAAGUCAGAUGUGAAAUCUAUGGGCUUAACCCAUAAACUGCAUUUGAAACUGUUUUUCUUGAGUGAUGGAGAGGCAAGCGGAAUUCCUAGUGUAGCGGUGAAAUGCGUAGAUAUUAGGAGGAACACCAGUGGCGAAGGCGGCUUGCUGGACAUUAACUGACGCUGAGGCGCGAAAGCGUGGGGAGCAAACAGGAUUAGAUACCCUGGUAGUCCACGCUGUAAACGAUGAUUACUAGGUGUUGGAGGAUUGACCCCUUCAGUGCCGCAGUUAACACAAUAAGUAAUCCACCUGGGGAGUACGACCGCAAGGUUGAAACUCAAAGGAAUUGACGGGGGCCCGCACAAGCAGUGGAGUAUGUGGUUUAAUUCGACGCAACGCGAAGAACCUUACCAAGUCUUGACAUCCUGCGACGAUGCUGGAAACAGUAUUUUCCUUCGGGACGCAGAGACAGGUGGUGCAUGGUUGUCGUCAGCUCGUGUCGUGAGAUGUUGGGUUAAGUCCCGCAACGAGCGCAACCCUUACUGUCAGUUACUACGCAAGAGGACUCUGGCAGGACUGCCGUUGACAAAACGGAGGAAGGUGGGGAUGACGUCAAAUCAUCAUGCCCUUUAUGACUUGGGCUACACACGUACUACAAUGGCGUUAAACAAAGAGAAGCAAGACCGCGAGGUGGAGCAAAACUCAGAAACAACGUCCCAGUUCGGACUGCAGGCUGCAACUCGCCUGCACGAAGUCGGAAUUGCUAGUAAUCGCAGAUCAGAAUGCUGCGGUGAAUACGUUCCCG
rnacentral:rRNA from 1 species